ensembl:misc_RNA Metazoa_SRP Metazoan signal recognition particle RNA
GCUGGGCAUGGUAGCGUGUGCCUGUAAUCCCAGCUACUCGGGAGGCUGGGGCAGGAGAAUCACUUGAACCUGGGAGGUGGAGAUUGCAGUGAGCCAAGAUCACACCACUGAACUCCAGCCUGGGUGACAGAGUGAGACUCUGUCUCAA